rnacentral:rRNA from 1 species
UACGGAGGGUGCGAGCGUUGUCCGGAAUCACUGGGCGUAAGGGGCGCGUAGGUGGCUAUGUAAGUCACUUGUGAAAUCCCGGGGCUCAACUCCGGGGCCGCAGGUGAGACUGUGUGGCUAGAGCGUGGUAGAGGCGAGUGGAAUUCCCGGUGUAGCGGUGGAAUGCGUAGAUAUCGGGAAGAACACCGGUGG